CAGUAGGGAGGAAGGUAGUGUAGUUAACACCUGCAUUAUUUGACGUUACCUACAGAAGAAGCACCGGCUAACUCCGUGCCAGCAGCCGCGGUAAUACGGAGGGUGCGAGCGUUAAUCGGAAUUACUGGGCGUAAAGACGCAUGCAGGCGGCCUGUUAAGUCAGAUGUGAAAGACCCGGGGCGUUAACCUCGGAAAUUGCAUUUGUAAACUAGGCAGGCUAGAGUCUUGUAGAGGGGGGUAGGAAUUUCAGGUGUAGCGGUGAAAUGCGUAGAGAUCUGAAGGAAUACCAGUGGCGAAGGCGGCCCCCUGGACAAAGACUGACGCUCAGAUGCGAAAAGCGUGGGGAGCAAACAGGAUUAGAUACCCUGGUAG
rnacentral:rRNA from 1 species